rnacentral:rRNA from 1 species
CCUACGGGAGGCAGCAGUGAGGAAUAUUGGUCAAUGGGCUUACGCCUGAACCAGCCAAGUCGCGUGAGGGAAGACUGCCCUAUGGGUUGUAAACCUCUUUUGUCAGGGAGCAACGCCGGCUACGUGUAGCCGGACUGAGAGUACCUGAAGAAAAAGCAUCGGCUAACUCCGUGCCAGCAGCCGCGGUAAUACGGAGGAUGCGAGCGUUAUCCGGAUUGAUUGGGUUUAAAGGGUGCGUAGGCGGAAUGCCAAGUCAGCGGUAAAAUCGCGGGGCUCAACCUCGCUCCGCCGUUGAAACUGGCGUUCUUGAGUGGGCGAGAAGUAUGAGGAAUGCGUGGUGUAGCGGUGAAAUGCAUAGAUAUCACGCAGAACUCCGAUUGCGAAGGCAGCAUACCGGCGCCCAACUGACGCUGAAGCACGAAAGCGUGGGUAUCGAACAGGAGUAGAUACCCCUGUAGUC